CCUACGGGUGGCAGCAGUGAGGAAUAUUGGUCAAUGGGCUUACGCCUGAACCAGCCAAGUCGCGUGAGGGAAGACUGCCCUAUGGGUUGUAAACCUCUUUUGUCAGGGAGCAACGCCGGCUACGUGUAGCCGGACUGAGAGUACCUGAAGAAAAAGCAUCGGCUAACGCCGUGCCAGCAGCCGCGGUAAUCCGGAGGAUGCGAGCGUUAUCCGGAUUUAUUGGGUUUAAAGGGUGCGUAGGCGGAAUGCCAAGUCAGCGGUAAAAUCGCGGGGCUCAACCUCGCUCCGCCGUUGAAACUGGCGUGCUUGAGUGGGCGAGAAGUAUGCGGAAUGCGUGGUGUAGCGGUGAAAUGCAUAGAUAUCACGCAGAACUCCGAUUGCGAAGGCAGCAUACCGGCGCCCAACUGACGCUGAAGCACGAAAGCGUGGGUAUCGAACAGGAUUAGAUACCCUGGUAGUC
rnacentral:rRNA from 1 species